UUUACUCCUACCGGAGGCAGCAGUGGGGAAUAUUGCACAAUGGGCGCAAGCCUGAUGCAGCGACGCCGCGUGAGGGAUGACGGCCUUCGGGUUGUAAACCUCUUUCAGUAGGGAAGAAGCCUUUCGGGGUGACGGUACUUGCAGAAGAAGCGCCGGCUAACUACGUGCCAGCAGCCGCGGUAAUACGUAGGGCGCAAGCGUUAUCCGGAAUUAUUGGGCGUAAAGAGCUCGUAGGCGGUUUGUCGCGUCUGCUGUGAAAGACCGGGGCUCAACUCCGGUUCUGCAGUGGGUACGGGCAGACUAGAGUGCAGUAGGGGAGACUGGAAUUCCUGGUGUAGCGGUGAAAUGCGCAGAUAUCAGGAGGAACACCGAUGGCGAAGGCAGGUCUCUGGGCUGUAACUGACGCUGAGGAGCGAAAGCAUGGGGAGCGAACAGGAUUAGAUACCCUGGUAGUCCAUGCCGUAAACGUUGGGCACUAGGUGUGGGGGACAUUCCACGUUUUCCGCGCCGUAGCUAACGCAUUAAGUGCCCCGCCUGGGGAGUACGGCCGCAAGGCUAAAACUCAAAGGAAUUGACGGGGGCCCGCACAAGCGGCGGAGCAUGCGGAUUAAUUCGAUGCAACGCGAAGAACCUUACCAAGGCUUGACAUGGACCGGAAAGACCUGAAACCAGGUGCCCCCGU
rnacentral:rRNA from 1 species